GAUGAACGCUGGCGGCGUGCCUAAUACAUGCAAGUCGAGCGAACGGACGAGAAGCUUGCUUCUCUGAUGUUAGCGGCGGACGGGUGAGUAACAAGUGGAUAACCUACCUAUAAGACUGGGAUAACUUCGGGAAACCGGAGCUAAUACCGGAUGAUAUUUUGAACCGCAUGGUUCAAAAGUGAAAGACGGUCUUGCUGUCACUUAUAGAUGGAUCCGCGCUGCAUUAGCUAGUUGGUAAGGUAACGGCUUAACAAGGCAACGAUGCAUAGCCGACCUGAGAGGGUGAUCGGCCACACUGGAACUGAGACACGGUCCAGACUCCUACGGGAGGCAGCAGUAGGGAAUCUUGCGCAAUGGGCGAAAGCCUGACGGAGCAACGCCGCGUGAGUGAUGAAGGUCUUCGGCUCGUAAAACUCUGUUAUUAGGGAAGAACAUAUGUGUAAGUAACUGUGCACAUCUUGACGGUACCUAAUCAGAAAGCCACGGCUAACUACGUG
rnacentral:rRNA from 1 species